rnacentral:lncRNA from 1 species
GCAGCAAAGCCGCUCCCGGGGCAGCUGCCAGCAGUGGUGGUGGCCACGGGGGCACCCCAAAGACCGGGGUAGUGUCAGCACCGGGAGAGCCGCAAUUUGUUCUGCUGCCUGUACCGGUCCUGGUGCCACAACCCGGUGACAACCGUGUCCCUCUGCUUCCUCACCCAGAACUACAAGCACGCCUACGACCUCAUCCAGAAGUUCGGGGACCUGGAGGUCACCGUGGACUUCCUCACCGAGGUGGACAAGCUGGUGCAGCUCAUCGAGUGCCCCAUAUUCACCUAUCUCCGCCUGCAGCUGCUGGACGUGAAGAACAACCCCUACUUGAUCAAGGCGCUGUAUGGGCUGCUGAUGCUGCUGCCCCAGAGCAGCGCCUUCCAGCUCCUCUCCCACCGGCUGCAGUGCGUGCCCAACCCCGAGCUCAUGCAGAGCGCGUAGGUGCCAGGGACGGGAUGGGGACAGGGACAGGGAUGGGAUGGGGAUGGGGACAG